UACAGAGGGGGCAAGCGUUGUUCGGAAUUACUGGGCGUAAAGGGCGCGUAGGCGGCCUGUUAAGUCGAACGUGAAAUCCCCGGGCUCAACCCGGGAACUGCGUCCGAUACUGGCAGGCUUGAAUUCGGGAGAGGGAUGUGGAAUUCCAGGUGUAGCGGUGAAAUGCGUAGAUAUCUGGAGGAACACCGGUGGCGAAGGCGGCGAGCUGGCCUGUACCUGACGCUGAGGCGCGACAGCGUGGGGAGCAAACGGG
rnacentral:rRNA from 1 species